rnacentral:misc_RNA from 1 species
UCUCUAUAUAUAUAUAUAUAUAUCCCUCACUGAAUUGCUGCGAUUUUUAAAGAGCUGUUCUUGUCCCCUUGGAUCUUCCGUCGAGGAAUUGAGUUCAGAGCUGAUUUCAUAAUCAAGAAAUCACCUGGGGAUAUACACAGAGAUGGGCACUCCUGAUAAGAAUCAAAGUAAAGGGUUUUUUGCGGCCAUGACCUCUGGCUUGUCCAUG